rnacentral:lncRNA from 1 species
CUCUCGGGCUCUGCUCUCCGCACGGCUAAGGCAGAGCAGAGCUGAAUCACACUACCUUUCCCCGCAUCCUCUAAACUGUUGCCUGCGAAAGAGGGACCGGGGACUGAACUGUUCAGACUGCUUCCAUCCAAGGGUUCCGGACGGUAUAUACGCAUCCGAGCAGACACUUCUCUUGGCUCUUUUGGAGUUUAAAAGGCGCAGGCAUCCGACACUGCGGCUGUAAGUGGCAACUGGCGUUUCAAGUAACUAAUCCAAGGUGCUUUCCUGUGUCCGCGCCGGCAAGGUCGGACUCUUUGGGAGGACGAGAGAGAAAGCAUACUUUGCGCGCACACUGUCCUGCUUCUCUGGCAAACUGAGGCUUUCGUUCUGUUUUCCAGAUUUGCCAGAGAUGUUCCUGAACAAGUUGCCUGGCGGUGCAAGCUUCAAAAGGGAUACUUAAAUGGCCAGCCCCAUUUCGUCCCGUAAGCCAGGAAAGGUAAGAGAGAUUUGGAAAUCUUAUGAUGUUAUUAUUUGUUAUUCAUGGUGACAUGAGCGGCAUUAUCUUAUUUAUGGGCAGGUGUGACGAGUAGGCACCGUCUGCAGCAGGAGAGACAGCAACUCUCACUUGAGAAAGCUUAUUACCUAAUGGCUCUAGCCGUUGAAGCUUUUGCUGCUCGAAUUGUUUUUCCAUAGGCUGAUGUGAAACCAGAUACUCCAAGAGCCUCUACCUCCCUCAGUUAUCUCUCCCCCACACGGGGCGGAUAAAUACAAACGGGACGGGUUAACCCCUGCAAGCCGUUGCAAUGGAUAGUUUCGACUUUCUCUGGCCGAAGAAAUACCAAUCUGAUUUGGGUGGUCCAGGCAGAACUUUGUUGCUCCUAAUUCGAAACAAGCUUCGCCCAAGGGAUCCCUUUCAGGAUUGAUGGAUGGAAAACCCCACAUUCCCUUCAUGAUCUGGGUGUGUUCAUUAUUUUACUUCUGUGAAGGUACAUGUAUUAUGCUGAUGUCGAACACUAUUACCCAGUACUUGGCAGUUUGAGGUUCAUCACCAAAACAGAACGAGUGUUGUUUUUUUUUUUUUUUAACUACCGAGGGAGUUCUAUUUACCAAGUUGAUGACAACACAUGCAGUGAGAAAACCAAAGGUGUAUUUGCAUCUCUUGUGGGUAUUUUGAUUUACAUUAGAAGUGAAGGAAAGCAGAUGUUCAGGCUAAUGUUUGGACAUUGGACCAUUAUUAAAUUAAUCCCUUUCCCUCUGCGGUUCCCCCAAACUCCCCUCCCCAUUUCUUUUCUUCCUCCCUCCUUUCACAAUGUUUUCCUGCUUCCCUAUUUUUAUCUCUACUUCUUUUUUUAAGUUUUUAUUUAUUUAUUUAUUUGGGGGGUUGGGCAGACAGAGAGGGAGGGAGAGAAUCCUAAGCAGGCUCUGCACUGUCAGCACGGAGCCCGACGUGGGGCUCGAACCCACAAAGCGUGAGAUCGUGACCUGAGCGGAAACCAAGUCGGACGCUCAACCGACUGAGCCACCCAGUUGCCCCUGUCUCUACAUCUUACUCAUUCUUUCUUUCCUGUUAUUCACACAACCCUCAUCUUCUUCCUCCUCAUAUUUCCUUCCUUUCCUCCUCUCACUUUCUCUCUAUCCCCCCUUCCUCCCCGCUGCCCCCCGAAUUCCUUACCCUUUUCCUAUCCCCCACUCUCCUCCUUAUCCCUGCAUAGCUUUCAACCACUCUUACAAAAACUAGAGACUAAUUCUUAUUUUAUAAAUUUCCCGGAAAGGAUUGUGCGAUACUCAAAUUGUAUAAGGGUCUUUCCAUGAAAAUUGGAUUCUUCAGAAUCAACAGAAUUUCAAUCUUUUAAAAUCGCGUGGGGCCUUUUCUUCCCAAAUGGUGCAGGGCUUUUAGCAGAGCAAUCACAUUCUCCGUGCAACUCAUUAGUGCGUUAGCAAAGAGAGCUCUGGCAAUCCUGUUCAGAAAGCUUUUAUGAGAAGUUGUCACAGAUGUAGGACCAGAGUAACAAAGAGGAUUCCUCAAUACCUAACUUUUCCUUUACUCACUUCACAAUCCUUAAUGGGUUUCAGAAAUUUAAUCAAUAGACCUCUCUGAAUUCACCAGGGUGUUUGGUCUCCUGCAGACUAUAGAGGUUUCAAGAAUAUGUGAGUAGUUGGUCUUCCAAACCCUCAAAUGGGAUGUGUAAAGAAACUGAGAACUGUACAUGAGAUCACUGUUCUCCACAACUUCUCCAAGCUUCACAGAAUUCUAAUAUUUAAUAAAUAUUCACACCUCAGGAAGAUUCGGGGUUGAAGGGUCGGAGGAGGCAGACAAUGUAUUAUCAAUUGUGACUGAAAAGCCUCUAUAGACAAAAUUAAACUUUCUAAAAUUUCAGGCGGCAAUCCCACCCCAUGUAGUUUUCCUUUCAAAUCAUGUAACUGAUCGUAACUCAAGAGCAAAGUUUCUGACAACGUGAUUAUUUCUUAAUUCCAGAUUAUAACCGGGAGUCUAGUUUCCUUUGCACAACGACGUAUGGGGAGUGGGGAAGAGGAAUGAAAAGAAAAGGGAGUUUCGGACUCUUCCCCAAAGUAUAUUAGCAAUGAGAACAAAGAGAAGACUAUGCUUCUCUUCCAGCUGUCAGUGCUAAGUGCAUUUCCUCCUGUCCACGCAUUUAUUCACUAAUUAUCGAACAGCUACUGUGAGCAAGGUUAAGGGAUAGAAUGUUGAAAAAGAUCCUCAAGGGGUUUAUAAAUUGUGAUUUGGGGGGAAACACAGGAAAUAGAUAUUUGUAACGUGAGGCGAAUGUAACCUCUCUGGGAGAGAUACAAAGCAUGUGGGAAUUAGGAUUUGGAUGGGGAAAUUAAGGUCAGUUUCAUGAGCCGAACCAUGGGGGAUGGUAGCAUUUGCCCAAACAGAGAAAUGUGAAGAUGAAAGGAACUGGUCAAAUAAAAACAUGGAGGCAGGGAAGUAGAUGACAGUGAACAUUACAGCUUAGUUGGAAAGGAGGGUACUGGAAGGAUGUAGGUCAGCCAGGACCCGGGCAUUGCCGGCCUUGAAUGCCAAGCUAAGGAGAAUGGAGGAAAGUCCCAAAGCAAUUAGGAUCCUCAAAGGCAAUAUGCGGGCUUCCAAAACUUUACUCCUUUUUCAUUCUAUUUGAGUAGGUGUGAAUAAAUCAUAUAGCUUGACACUUUUUUUACGAAGUUAAAAAUAAAACUAAGCAACAUAUUGCUUAGGCAUAGGUGUGUGUGUGUGUGUGUGUGUGUGUAAAUAAAAGCAAGGUAAUGACUCACAAAAUUCAGAGUAUUGAUUGUUUGGGAGGAUGAGUAGGUAGCAGGAUGAGAUGGGGUGGAGCAUAGGUAGAUGUCCAAAGAAAUUAUUAGUUGUUCUCAAUCUUGAAGUAGGUGAGUGUUUUUCACAGGUGUUUGUCCAUCAGCUUAUUAAGUAAGCAAAUAAAAGAGGCCCUGGAGGCGCCUGAGUGGCUGAGUCGGUUAAGUAUCUGACUUCAGCUCAGGUCAUGAUCUCUUGGUUCAUGAGUUCGAGCCCCGCAUCAGGCUUUCUGCUGUCAGCACAGAGCCUGCUUUGGAUCCUCUGUCCCCGUCUCUCUCUGCCCCUCCCCUGCUGGUGCUCUCUCUCUGUCUCUCUCAAAAUAAAUAAAUAAACUUUUAAAAUUUUUCAAAAAAAUUGCACCCAUGAUGGCAAUAUGCCAUAAACCAAGGAGUAUGACUUAUCCAAACCUGUACUUGAGUUACUCCAAUGUCAAAGAGGCAUCUCGCACUUGACUUGCGCUAGCAGUGAGUGAGUUAUCUUCCUUCCACUUCUCUCUUGGAGGGCAGGUGAAAAAGUGAUGCCUCUGUCUGGGCUGCCCGGGACUGUCAGAGUCCUGAACCUGAAGUGCUCUCUCGAAUUUGUAGAGUGGUGUUUCUCAGCCCCGGCUGCGUAUCAAAAUCACCUGUAGAGCUUUAAGCAUUACAGAUGUUCAUGCCCCCACGCCGACCUACUGAAUCAGAGCUUCUGGAGGGAGGACCCAGGUACAUACAUUUUCAAAAAGCUUUUUAUAAGCGAUCCUGAGGGCAGCAGGAACUAGAAACCAUUCCUUGCAGAGUGUGCUUAGAAAUUCUAAGUGGCUAGCUUGUCACAAAGGACAGAUUUCAGGGUCCUAUCGAUACCCAGAGAUUCCGAUCUAAAAAGCAAGGGAAAGGACCUGGAAGUCUGCAUUUGUAGUAAGCAUCUCCAGGUGAGUCUGAUGAAGGGACUUCCUGGGACCACACUGAGAAACAUUGCCCUAAAGGUUCCAAAACACUAGGGACUCUGGGUGAUUACUCUGUGUACUCGUUUCCUAGGGCUGCCAUAAACAAACUACCACAAACUAGGUGGCUUCAAACAACAGCAGUGUAUUCUCUUAGGUCUGGAGGCUAGAAGUCUGAAAUCAGGGCAUCAGCAGGGCCACGUUCUCUCUGCAAUCUGUAGGGUAAAGUCUUUCCUUGGCUCUUCUAGUUUCUGGGCUUUGCUGGCAAUCCCUGGCAAUCCUUGGCUUGGAGAUGCAGCACUCCAAUCUCUGUUUCUGUCUUCCCUUCUUUUCUUUUUUUUUUUUUUAGUGUUUAUUUUUGAGAGAGAGAGAGAGAGAGAGAGAGCAGGGGAGUGGCAGAGAGAGAGGGAGACACAGAAUCCAAAGUAGGCUCCAGGCUCUGAGCCAUCAGCACAGAGCCGACAUGAGGCUUGAAUUCAUGAACCUCGAGAUCAUGACCUGAGCCGAAGUUAGACGUUUAACCGACUGAGCCACCCAGGCGCCCCUCUCUCUUCCCUUCUGAUAAGGACACCAGUCAUAUCGGAUUAGGGCUAACUUAAUGACCUCAUUUUAACUGGAGCGCAUCUACAAAGACCCUGUGUCCAAAUGAGGUCACAUUCACAGGUACCAGGUGGUAGGACAUCAACAUAUCUUUGGAGGAGACACAGUUCACCCCGUAACACUGUUUUAAAUAGUUUUUUUUUUCUUUUUUCUUUAAAAAAAUGUUUUUAACAUUUACUUAUUUCUGAGAGAGAGAGAGAGAAGACACAGAAUCCGAAGCAGGCUCCAGGAUCCAAGCUGUCAGCACAGAGUCCGACGCGGGGCUUGAACUCACACACCAUGAGAUCAUGACCUGAGCCAAAGUUGAAUGCUUAACCAAUUGGUCCACCCAGGUGUCCCUUAAAUAUAUAUAUAUUUUUAAGUAGGUCCCCAGGGGCGCCUGGGUGGUUCAGUUGAUUAAGCAUCCGAAUUCAGCUCAGGUCAUGAUGUCACAGUUCUUGAGUUCGAGCCCCGUGUCGGACUCUGUGCUGACAGCUGGGAGCCUGGAGCCUGCUUCAGAUCUGUCUCUCCCUCUCUCUUUGCCCCUCCCCUGCUCACUUACACUCUGUCUCUGUCUCUCUCUCUCUCUCUCUCAAAAAUAAAUACGUGUUAAAAAUUUAAGAAUAAAUAAAUAAAUAAAUAAAGUAGGGCCCAAACCACCAAUGAGACUGAUUAGCUAUGUUCUUUGGCUUGGAUAUCUGGAGAAAAAUACCUACACUUAGUUACCUUUCAAAGCUCAGUGUACAAAGAAUCACUUGAAAAGCUUGGGCCCGGGAUUCAUAUUCCUGGGUCUUGAUCCAAGAUUCCAGAAUUCAGGAUAAAGGAUAUGUACUGUGAUUGUCUUUUCUACUUGUUAGUGGAUCAGAAAUCAAAAGAAACGUACCUUUACGUUGCGCAAACGUGUCUCCUCGACCACUGCUCCAAAGACAGUAGAAGGAUACCCUGUCUCUUUGCUCAUGUUUCUUGUGAGCCAGGUGGCCCUGCAUGGGCGGUAGGGCAGUGGGUAGGCAGACUGAGACUCAUCCAGAUUCCAGAAAGUAUAGUAAUGUGGACUAGUAAAUAUAAAGUUUAAGUGCUUCCAGGCUGGGGGCAAAAUUCAAGACUAUUGGAAGGGUAAUGUGAUUGUUGGAGCUGUUUCUAUUUACUCUUCUUCGGUAUGUUGACAAGAGACAGAACUAGGCUACACUGUCAGCUCUCUGUUACCAGCACGCAAAGAAGUUUGAUGGGUGAUGGAGGUUUACUUUGUUUAUUUUAGUCACCCAGACUCAGAAUUCAUGUUCACGACGGCAAGCCAAAUCAUUUUUGGAAGACUUCGACAGUAAAUAGUUGACCCCAUUUACACACUGGAAUGUUUUCGCCAAGAAAGACAAGGUUCUGUCUUUGCCAAUAAUCGAAGAUACAGUUAUUUGCUCGGGAGCAGACAUGCCCUCUCGAUCCCUUCAGAUCUACAAAUACUGAAAAAAUAGUAUAUCCUCCGUCCACGGACCUAAAGGAGAGAGAAAGGCCAUAAAAACAAAAUUGGGGGAGGCCUGCAUUCCUAAAAAUUCCAUGAUUUGUUAAAGCGACCCACGGCACUGAGACCUAGAGUUUGAAAAAAUGAAUCCUUAGAUUUAGGUCUUCGUUAUUUUAUUUUUUUUAAGUAGGCUUUGUGCCCAACGCGGGGCUUGAACUCACGACCCAGAGAUCAAGAGUCGCACGUUUUACCGACUGAGCCAGCCAGGUGCCCCUAGGCCUUUUAUUUUAAUGCUAGGGUUUCUUGGGUAAGCCAGAGCAGCAGUUCUCAUCCUGGCUACACUUGACAGCCAUUUGUGAAAAAUACCAGUAAAAAACACCAGUGUUUGGGGCAUCCGGGUGGCUCAGCUGGUUAAGUGUCACACUCUUGAUCUCGGCUCGGGUCAUGAUCUCACGGUUUGCGGGUUUGAGCCACAUCGGGCUCUGUGCUGGCAGGGCAGAGCCUGCUUGGGAUUCUUUUUCUCUCUCUGCCCCUCCCCCACUUGCGCUGUCUCUGUCUCUUUCAAAAUAAAUAAAUAAACUUAACAAAACAUACCAGUGUUUGGACCCCACCUCAGACCGAUAAAAUCUGACUCUCUAGAGUGCUUUCCAGGCCCCUACUGUGGAGAUUAUGGUUUAGAAAGUCGAUGUUGGGGCCCUUGGUCGAUACUUUAUCUCAGGUAAAUCUUAUGAUCAAUUAGUUUGGAAAACACUCUCCUAAUCUAGCCUAGUUAUUAGUUGCUGUUCAGUGAUCCGAAUUUUUCUUUUCUUUAAUAGCCAUGUACCACAUAGAAAGAAGCAUUCAAAUUGAAAACUCAGAAUAUCCUUUUAAAACGAAUUUGCCGUUUCGCAAACGUUUUGCAAUAUAUCCGUAAAUUUGUCUUUCAAAAGAAAUUGCCAUCUGUUUCUCUUAGAUACCUGAAUCUUUUAUUUCUGUUUUUGAUUUUCAGGAAUAUAAAUCUGUUGAAGAAUCUUAAGAGUCAAAUCUUCUGAGCCUAGACAUACUGCUGUCAGCAUCUCUUGAGACCUCCUCCUUCUGAGAAUUCCCAGGUCUGACCACACUUUCCCUCCAGCCGACAGUGAGGGACGUCAACACACAUCCUCUAGACUUCCAGCCCUCGAGCUGUGGCAGCUGGGGCAGGAAUCUUACAAGCUCCAUCCUUAGGGGAGAUUCAGAAAGACAAGAAGGGUGAAAAGUCAGAUAUGCUGAGUCUGAAACAUACAAAAGCCUUUAGAACGGUUCCUCACAGAAGAACCCAAAUAAAUCCACAUAAUUAGUGCGCAUAUUUAGAUGAGCUAUACAUAAAACAGCCUUUCUCCCUCUAUCAAAACAGAGUAAAAAGUCUGAUUUAAUACUCAGAGAUUCUUGUCCCCAUGCCAGUAUUAUAAAGCAGUUUCGCCGCAUUUGUUUCAAUCUGUGUAAGAGUAGGACUGUGGAAAAUAAAAGACUUAUUUGUAUAUAUAUUUUUUUAAUGAUUAAGAAUUUCCGAUGAAACCUGUGUAAGAGAGGGGUGCUGUGCUGGAGGACAGAGCGUGGCAAUUGCCAAAUUAGAACAUCACCAUUUUCUUGCCUGUGCGCUAGUGACGGGGUCCGGGUCGUGAUUGCUUUGCAUGAGAUUGUUAGAACACCUCCAGGAUACUCAGAGACAGUCUGUGUGGCUGUGGAAUGCCUCGAGGGCAAUAGAAAGCAAAUAGAAGCAGGUACCGACUGAAGUCUUGAGUGAUGACGGAGGUGCAUUUCAAGUACCAUGGAAAUCUCACUGGCCGCGCCCAUUUCCCCACCCUGGCAACAGAGGUUGAUAACACUUCCGAUAAGUAUUCCAACCUCUACAUGUAUGUGGGCUUAUUCCUGAGCCUCCUAGCCAUUCUCCUCAUCCUGCUCUUCACCAUGCUCCUUCGGCUCAAACAUGUCAUCUCACCCAUCACUUCUGAGAGCACAGAAAGCGUUCCUCAAUUCACAGAUGUAGAGAUGCAGAGUCGGAUCCCCACUCCUUAAAGCCGGGAUGAACAUGAGCUUUAGUGGAUCUCAGUGAACCCUUCUAUGGUGAUGUCCAGGAAAGUUUCUUUUGUUGCAUGUGGCUUCCCAUGGAGGGAAUCAACAAGUUGUUUAUUUAUUUAACAAGUUGUUCAUGUAUUUUGUGUGUGUGUGUGUGUGUGUGUGUUCUUCUUGAUCUUGAUUCUGUUUGUGGGCUAUCUAAGAGGCUUAAGACUCACUCUUUGCCAGAAAUAAAGGAAAUGGCAGCUGGUUGGGAGGGCAGGUUUCCAUAGUAACCAAAGAGAGCCUGGGCCGUGAGCAAACCUCAGACCACAGAAAUUCAUAUGCAGCUAUUGUAAAAUUCACAGGAUCCCUGGAAGCUCCAAGAACAAGAAAAAUCAGCUCUCGAAGGGGCUGAUUGUUCAAAGAGGGUUCCCCCCCCAGUAAGGGACAAGUUUUAAUUUAGCACUUACCCUAAAGAGUCGCCUCUGCUGACAUGAAGGUAAAUCAUGUCAGAGGUUAAUGGAAAGGACCACGAACCCUUUCCCAAAGGAGCCGUGAUUUUAUCAUCUAAGGUCAAAGGGUUUGUCCCAAAUGAAAGAAGAAAUUUAAAGAAACGGUCUCAGUUUAAAGAGCAAGUGCGCAGAAAGUAGUUUCUAGUCAGCAAAUUCACCUAGAGAGGGGAAAUGUGCAUUUUAUAUCUGUGUUAUUACUAUUACUGGACUCUUAAAAACUCAGAUAAUGGCAGAUGUAUUACAAAAAUCCAGAAUGAUGAGCUUCUCCCAAACCAAGGGAAGAUUGAGUCAAAAUGUGCUCAUGACAAUGAAUCUUGCAUUAUACGUGCAAAUUCUUUACCUUUUUCUCCCUCCCCAUCACGCUCCUGAAGAGUUGCACACAAACAUGAGCUUUGUUUAAAGAUGGCCUUGGCAAAAAAGACUCAGCUAUCCUUUAAAGCAGGAAGGAAAUAAUCUUGGUAUUCUGUCAUUGAAUGAUUGUGGCUUUGGACAAACCAUUCAAGCUUCUGGGUGCCAGCUUUUUCUUUCUGAAAAAUGAUCAGAGAGCUAUUUAGUUAUCACUGGACUCCUUUUAGAUCUGAGGGUAAGAAAAAGACAAGGGAGGAAAGGAGUAAACACCACCCCCCUACAAAUCCUUAUUAAGAUCAAUGUCCUCAACUGUCACAUUUGUCUUUCCCAGAAAAUGUUUCCCUUCCUGAUCCCUGCCAAAAGAUGACGUGGUUCGCUUAUUACCUAUGAGAGAAAUAUAUUUUUAAAAAUCCCAUUCUCAUAAGUAGCCUGGUAUGCCAGGAGUGAGGGAAGAAUUUGAUUUUUGGCAAAAUGAACGUUCCAAAAGGGAACCCGGAGGAGGUUAGUACUGUUCACAAAUCACAAAUUAGAAGGCCGGUCAUACACUUGCCACCCAAAAGCUAAUACACGUGUGUUAAAUUCUACCUGCUUAAAAACAAACAAAAGUCUACCUGCUUCAAAAAAAAUCGGUUCUCACUUGCACCUAAAAGAUGGUCACCAAAUUUCACAGGGUGCUGCCUCGGGAACUGCAGUGGUGGGAAGAGAAAUGGUAUGGAUGUUAGGUUAACGCCACCUCUACCAGGCAUGCAGCUGUCACUAAUCUGUUACCAAUUUAGAUUGGCCCCUUUACUCUGAUCUAAAUCUAGCCUGGUGGUGAAAUUCCCAAGUGCUUUCCACUUUUAUACACAGUCAUUUGCCAAUACUCCUCUCUCCAAGGGGCUGCAAGGUGUGGAAUCCCCACACGCAGAGCUAAACUUAGCGGCAAAGGCUGACUCUGGCGCACCUGAUACAACAGCGGAUCGUAAGAGACAGCAGGUGCAUUCUGCACCAUUCAGAAGAGAUGAGCAGGUAGGCUCAGACUCAGGGCGUACACUUCCCUCUGGGCCUUUUAUUUUCCAAAACGCAUGGUGACUUUUAUGUUAUUGCGUCUGGUGGUUCGAGUUGUGUCUUUAUUCAACACCCGGACUCCAUGUCCUCCGUAAGGUUUUAGUUCUUUGGCAGCCUUACACGCGCGCACUUCAUCGAAGGCUGGCAGCGUACCCCACAACUUCUUAAGGACACACAUAUCCCGUCGCUCCAGGCACCCCCUUUUGUGCUCACAGUAUUUGAAUGCACUUUACAGUUAAGAAGUCCGUGGCUGGAUACAUGAAAGAACCGAUUAUGCUUUUGACAGCGAUGAAUAGCGAGAUUACCCAGUGCCUUGUUGCCAGAUUUGAUGAACAGACAGACUACGCAUCUAUUCCUGCCCACCUGACCUCCCCAGCCCGCAUGUCCAGAGUUUAACACCUCUUCUUUAGUCACUGGCUUGGAGCAAGAGUCCUGAUUUAUGAUUAGGUGACUCACCUGGAAAACAAGCACCCUCUUUCAUCACAACUACCCCAUGGGAUCCAGAUCUUUACUGAGCAUUAACCAAAGCACACAGCACAGUUGCAUUAAAAUAGCAGCAUGACCCCCGCCCCCCGCCACAAGUUCCAGUGAUGACACAAAUGGAGAUGCAUUUAAGCAGACGUGUUGUUGUGGUGACUCACAUGGUAUUUAAUCUUUAGGAAAAUAAACUGAAGGUUUUCAUCGUAGCAAACUGACUAUAAAGAAAAGAAUUUUUCCACUUCUAUUAAAUUAUAUUCUCUCCCUCAGUAUAUUAAUUAACGUAUAUUACUGCUCAAAGAGUCAGCUAGAGCACUCCAUGGGCAUCAUUUGAAUUUAUCCAUCUAUCCACAAUGCUGACUUGGCAAUUCCUUCCCCCUUCCCCACUCUCCAAAAACUGCACGGUAGCCUAAAUGUAUAUAAGCAGGUUAUUUCUAUGUAGAUGUACUCUGUUCUAAGAUGAAAGACUGAUGCUUCAUUUAUUAUUUAUUUAUUUAUUUAUUAUUUAUUA